rnacentral:rRNA from 1 species
GACGAACGCUGGCGGCGUGCCUAAUACAUGCAAGUUGAGCGAUGAAGAUUGGUGCUUGCACCAAUUUGAAGAGCAGCGAACGGGUGAGUAACGCGUGGGGAAUCUGCCUUUGAGCGGGGGACAACAUUUGGAAACGAAUGCUAAUACCGCAUAACAACUUUAAACAUAAGUUUUAAGUUUGAAAGAUGCAAUUGCAUCACUCAAAGAUGAUCCCGCGUUGUAUUAGCUAGUUGGUGAGGUAAAGGCUCACCAAGGCGAUGAUACAUAGCCGACCUGGGAGGGUGAUCGGCCACAUUGGGACUGGUACACGGCCCAAACUCCUACGGGAGGCAGCAGUAGGGAAUCUUCGGCAAUGGACGAAAGUCUGACCGAGCAACGCCGCGUGAGUGAAGAAGGUUUUCGGAUCGUAAAACUCUGUUGGUAGAGAAGAACGUUGGUGAGAGUGGAAAGCUCAUCAAGUGACGGUAACUACCCAGAAAGGGACGGCUAACUACGUG